CCUCUUGGAAAAGAGAACCAUUGAGGGUGAGAGUCCUGUUUGUCAUCUGUANUCCAAUGUGUUCGGCAUACGUUCUAAGAGUCACGUUCCUCGGGAUUGGAGCGCAAACUGGGUGGUAAAUUUCAUCUCAAGCUAAAUAUGGGUUCGAAACCGAUAGCAAACAAGUACCAUGAGGGAAAGAUGAAAAGGACUUUGAAAAGAGAGUUAAAAGUGCCUGAACUUGCUGAAAGGAAAGCGGAUGGAACCAGUGUUGCUUGGUGAGAUUGUUGCGCGCUAUGGUGAUAGCCUGUUGCUUCAGCGCAAGCGUGGCUGCGGGUUUUGAUCUUGCUGCGCGUGAUGCUUCUUGCCUUGUGUGUCACCGUCGGUUCGGUGGUGGGGAUAACCCUUGGGACAUGGGAACUCGGCCCUGGCUGUGUGAACGUGCCUUGUGGAACCCACCGCUGAACCGCAAAGCUAAUGUGCGGUCGCGCUGCCCCGCUUGGUGAGGCUGCCUGCGUCUUCGCUGCGCAUUCGCCUUGUUAGGGCACCUUCUGCACACGACCAUGGUGACUGAAUGGUUCUAUUCGACCCGUCUUGAAACACG
rnacentral:rRNA from 1 species